GCCCGAGUAGCUCAGUUGGUAGAGCAUGCGACUGAAAAUCGCAGUGUCGGCGGUUCGAAUCCGUCCUCGGGCA
rnacentral:tRNA from 1 species